rnacentral:rRNA from 1 species
GACGAACGCUGGCGGCGUGCUUAACACAUGCCAGUCGAACGAGACAUACAAGAAUCGAGGCGUCGGCAGAAGUUCCUUUCGGAUAAGUGGCAUACGGUUGGGUAAAACGUCACGAACGUACUGCUUACAACGGAAUAUCUUCUGGAAACAGAGAUUAAUACCAUAUAACUGUGCGCCCAUUCGUUUCGAUGGAAUCAAAGCUACAGCGCUAAGAGAUGGGCGCGCGUCCCAUUAACUGGAUGGUGAGUUAAAGGCCCACCAUAGGGACGAUGGGUAGCUGGUCUGAGAGGGUGAACGGUCACACUGGAACUGAGACACGGCCCAGACUCCUACGGGAGGCAGCAGUGGGGAAUAUUGCACAAUGGAGGAAACCCUGAUCCAGCGAUGCCGCGUGAGUGAUGAAGGCCUUAGUGUUGUAAAACUCUGUUACAUGGGAAGAAAAUGACUGUACCAUAGGAAAAAGCUCCGGCUAACUCCGUG